GACGGAGGAUGCAAGUGUUAUCCGGAAUCACUGGGCGUAAAGCGUCUGUAGGUGGUUUAAUAAGUCAACUGUUAAAUCUUGAGGCUCAACCUCAAAAUCGCAGUCGAAACUAUUAGGCUAGAGUAUAGUAGGGGUAAAGGGAAUUUCCAGUGGAGCGGUGGAAAUGCGUAGAGAUUGGAAAGAACACCGAUGGCGAAGGCAGCUCUCUGGGACGGUACUGACGCUGAGACGCGAAAGCGUGGGGAGCGAACAGG
rnacentral:rRNA from 1 species